rnacentral:SRP_RNA from 1 species
GCCGGGCGUGGUGGCUCGUGCCUGUAAUCCCAGCACUUUGGGAGGCUGAGGUGGGUGGAUCACCUGAGGUCAGGAGUUCGAGACCAGCCUGGCCAACAUGGUGAAACCCCGUCUCCA